rnacentral:lncRNA from 1 species
AAAACACCAGGCAAAAGGCCGAGCCUUCCACCCUUUACUAAGUAUAUAGAUUCAUUACUUAAAUAAGAGAUAUUGUGAUAUUCCAAAAAUAUCCAUGUUCCGACAUGGAGCAAUCUUCAACUUCCCCUAUAACUAACAAUGUUAUAAGAGGGGCUGAGCAAAAGCGUAUCUUAGCCAAUCAACAGUUUGCUAGGAGGGUGGUUAGAGGUUUCAUGGCAAUGUAGGAGGCUAACAAGCAAUAGAUAGGUAGUGCGACAUAGCGAUAGAGCGAGACAACUAGCAUAGCAAAGGUAGUAGUGAGAUCCAGGGUGACGGUCAUCUGGCCGGAAAUCCCGCUAGGAAGAAGACUGAAUCCAUGAGGUAGACGAAGCAACAUAUUCGAACGAAUCCUCAUAAUCGCAACGUAACCGGAACUAUCAAGGAGAAGCGCAACUGGAAAGAAGCAAACAUCAUAGUUAACACACAAGCAUAAACAUGGCAUGAUGCACAACCAAAUAUGAUGCAUGUCCAUUUUAAUGAGGCAUGACAUGGCAAAGUGCGACAAACAAUACUACAAGUUAAGUGGAGCUCAAUAUGCAACGAGUUGCAUAUUGAGGAAACACCACAUCUAAUUAUUUUGUUCACUCUUGUUUAAGCUACACAACAAUAUUAAAUGUUGUUAAACAUGGCAAGAGGGGAAGCAUAAGUAAACUAACUAUUUAGGCAAGUUUAAAUGAGGCCGGAACAACAAACAACAAUUCCGGAAAAUCCUCAUAUGCAUAUUUUGGAUUUGAUACUGUUCUGCCCUAUACACAAUUUUUGAGUUUUUAAACAUGCAAAGUAAGUGCACCAAGAUAAUCUAUGCAUUUUCCUACCCCAUUUACAUAUAAAGAUUAUUAGAUUCAGAGCUACGAUUAUUUAGUUAUUAAAUAAAUCAUUUUAGCAUGGCAUUUGAGCAAAUUUAAUCAAACAACAUUCUAAACAUUUUAAAUAUGCUUGAAAGUUGGAAAAAUAUUAACCUACAUGAAAUUCUAAGCAUGAUACAUAUAUGACAUGUUUUAUUUGGAUGCAUGGUUAAAUAGUUAUUAGUAGUUUAAAACAUGGGUAUUUCUGUAAUAAGCAUGUCCAGGAUUUAAUGACAAAUUCUCAGCAUAGAAAAAAACAAGUCAUGGGCCGAAUUAGAGCUACAGGCUGAACACAUGACAUGGGCGUUGGGGGGUUUCUCACCAUGGGCCAUGGCCCAGAUGGAAGCAGAGGAGGCCGGUUGAGGCAGCGGUUGGGCCAGCGUUGGCACAGGGAGGCACGGCCCAUCGGUGCUAGCGAUGCAGGGGGUCGAGGCGCUCGUCCUCCUUUGCAACUGCUACGAUGCAAAGGACACCAGCGAUGCAGGAGGCCACGGCAGCGGGACUGCGGCUGGCGAUGCGGUUGACUGCUACCUCCGGCUCGAAGCGAGG